GAUGAACGCUGGCGGCGUGCCUAAUACAUGCAAGUCGAGCGAACAGACGAGGAGCUUGCUCCUCUGACGUUAGCGGCGGACGGGUGAGUAACACGUGGAUAACCUACCUAUAAGACUGGGAUAACUUCGGGAAACCGGAGCUAAUACCGGAUAAUAUAUUGAACCGCAUGGUUCAAUAGUGAAAGACGGUUUUGCUGUCACUUAUAGAUGGAUCCGCGCCGCAUUAGCUAGUUGGUAAGGUAACGGCUUACCAAGGCAACGAUGCGUAGCCGACCUGAGAGGGUGAUCAGCCACACUGGAACUGAGACACGGUCCAGAGCCCUACGGGAGGCGGCAGUAGCGAUACGGCAGCAAGGGGCGAAAGCUUGACGGAGCAACGGCGCGUGAGUGAUGAAGGUCUUCGGAUCGUAAAUCGCUGUUAGUAGGGAAGAGCAGAUAAGUAAGUAACGAGGCACGACUUGACGGUACCUAAGCAAAAAGCCACGGCUAACUACGUG
rnacentral:rRNA from 1 species